rnacentral:rRNA from 1 species
AUUGAACGCUGGCGGCAGGCCUAACACAUGCAAGUCGAACGAGUGGCGGACGGGUGAGUAAUGUCUGGGAAACUGCCUGAUGGAGGGGUCUAACUACUGGAAACGGUAGCUAAUACCGCAUACCAUCAGAUCUGCCCAGGUGGGAUUAGCUUGUUGGUGGGGUAAAGGCUCACCAAGGCGACGAUCCCUAGCUGGUCUGCGAGGAUGACCAGCCACACUGGGACUGAGACACGGUCCAGAGUCCUACGGGAGGCAGCAGUGGGGAAUAUUGCACAAUGGGCGAAAGCCUGAUGCAGCCAUGCCGCGUGAAUGAAGAAGGCCUUCGGGUUGUAAAGUACUUUCAGCGGGGAGGCGUUACCCGCAGAAGAAGCACCGGCUAACUCCGUGCCAGCAGCCGCGGUAAUAC